rnacentral:rRNA from 1 species
ACAUGCCUAUAGCAUAGCGUUAAUGCACUGGAUCCCAUUAGAAUUCUUCAGUUAAACACGCUCAAGCUAGAGUAGUACUGGGAUGGGUGACCACCUAGGAAGUCCUAGUAUUUUACAUGCC